GCUGCGGUGUCCGAGUGGUUAAGGAGAUGGACUUGAAAUCCAUUGGGCGUUGCCCGCGCAGGUUCGAAUCCUGUCCGCAGCG